rnacentral:rRNA from 1 species
GAAAGUAAACAAGGGCGCAUGGAGGAUGCCUAGGCUCUCGGAGGCGAAGAAGGACGUGAUAAGCUGCGAAAAGUUACGGUAAGGCGCAAAUAGCCCUAGACCCGUAAAUAUCCGAAUGGGGCAACCCGGCCAGCAAUGGCCAUACCGCCAAGCGGUAAGCCAACGCGGGGAACUGAAACAUCUAAGUACCCGCAGGAAAAGAAAAUAACCAUGAUUCCGCCAGUAGUGGCGAGCGAACGCGGAACAGCCCAAACCACCCGUGUUACGGCACGAGUGGGGUAGAAGGAUCCACGCUACGGCAAGAAAUAAGUUAGCAGAAUACGAUGGAAAUCGUAGCCAGAGACGGUGACAGCCCGGUACGCGAAAACGGACAGAAGCCCAGUGGACACCUGAGUAACCCAGGACACGAGAAAUCCGGGGCGAAUCAGCGGGGCCCAUCCCGUAAGGCUAAAUACUCCCGAGAGACCGAUAGCGAACCAGUACUGUGAAGGAAAGGUGAAAAGCACCUCGAACAGAGGAGUGAAAUAGUCCCUGAAACCGUCUGCCUACAAGCGGUCGGAGCACAUUAAAGUGUGACGGCGUGCCUUUUGCAUAAUGAACCUACGAGUUACUUUCUCCGGCAAGGUUAAGGGCUUUAGGCCCGGAGCCGAAGCGAAAGCGAGUCUUAAUAGGGCGUGAUAGUCGGAGUGAGUAGACGCGAAACCAAGUGAUCUACCCUUGGUCAGGAUGAAGGUUGGGUAACACCAACUGGAGGUCCGAAUGGGUAUACGUUGAAAAGUGUUCCAAUGAACUGAGGGUAGGGGUGAAAGGCUAAUCAAACUUGGAGAUAGCUCGUACUCCCCGAAAUGCAUUUAGGUGCAGCCUUGCGGGUUACUGAUGUGAGGUAGAGCGACUGAUAAGAUGCGAGGGCUUCACCGCCUAUCAAGUCUUGACAAACUCCGAAUGCGCAUCAGUUCUACCGCAGGAGUGAGGGCAUGGGUGCUAAGGUCCGUGCCCGAGAGGAGAAGAAUCCGGACCACCUGCUAAGGUCCCGAAAUGACAGCUAAGUUAAACUAACGAAGUCUGACUGCUAAGACAGCUAGGAUGUUGGCUUGGAAGCAGCCAUUCAUUUAAAGAGUGCGUAACAGCUCACUAGUCGAGGAGUUUGGCGUGGAUAAUAAUCGGGCAUUAAGUAUCUUACCGAAGCUAUGGGAUCAUUAAUGAUCGGUAGGGGAGCAUUCCACUCCGCGUCGAAGGUGAAGCGUGAGCUUUGCUGGAGCGUGUGGAAAAGCAAAUGUAGGUAUAAGUAACGAUAAAGGGGGUGGGAAACCCCCUCGCCGAAAGACUAAGGUUUCCUGAUCAACGCUAAUCGGAUCAGGGUCAGUCGGGUCCUAAGGCUCAGCCGAACGGCGAUGCCGAUGGCAGAAACGGUUAAUAUUCCGUUACUACCUUCAGGAGUGACGUGGAGACGCAGUAGUGACAGUGCCGCCAUCUGACGGAAUAGAUGGUUGAAGGGUGUAGGAGUCGAUCAUGGCAGGCAAAUCCACCAUGAGAUCCGAACCUGAUAGUAUGCCGCGUCCUUCGGGACAAGGCAAUAGUGCGCGUAAGCAUGCUGCCGAGAAAAUCCGCUAAACUUAAUCCUGCAGGUACCCGUACCGCAAACGGACACACGUAGUCGGGUUGAAUAUACUAAGGCGCUUGAGUGAUUCACGGUUAAGGAACUAGGCAAACUGACCCUGUAACUUCGGGAUAAAGGGUCCUCGCUUAACGGCGAGGCGCAGAGAAUAGGUCCAGGCAACUGUUUAACAAAAACACAGGGCUGUGCAAAAUUUCAAGAUGAAGUAUACAGCCUGACACCUGCCCGGUGCCGGAAGGUUAAGAGGAGAGCUAAUCGCAAGAGAAGGCUUGAAUUGAAGCCCCGGUAAACGGCGGCCGUAACUAUAACGGUCCUAAGGUAGCGAAAUUCCUUGUCGGGU